UCUCGGAGUGCUUGAGAGGAGAGGAAAGGGAAAUAUAUAAAGUUCUCAUACCAGAGGACGAUGCGGAUUAUGAGUCACCGAGAGUGCACUCAAUGUCCAAGUGAUUCCUGAGAAAAUGAAGUUCUACUUUUAAUUUUUAAUUAAGAGCUACUGCCAGGAAUGAAGAAGAAACUCCUUAAAACACAAAAAAAUGGAUAUUGAUUUGGGGUACUUCUGGUCCACAAAUUGCCAAAUCAUAUGCAACGGGCUCGCACAAGAAAGCAAUAUUACAAGAAUCCUCUCCCAGUGCUCUGGCUUGGGUCAUUUUGCCGACUUUGCUGAACUGGUCAACCCAGAACAUAUUGCGGCCUGAAGUGGGCCGUUAGUAGUCGCCACUGAUAUUCCAAAAGAAGAGAAAGAGCUGAGCAAA